AUUUAAGACGCACCCAAUUUUAAAGGAGGAAAAUCUAGGAAAAAAAAGAUUCUGAACCCAACAGUGAUCUUCAACCUGUGGACCUCCAGAUGUUGCAAAACUACUACUCCCAGCAUGCCCGGACAGCCAUUGGCUGGAUAGGAGAAUUCAGGAAUAACCCAUUCACCAGAGGCGUCUCUUCUCUUCUAAUAAUGGAGGUCUACCUGAAAGAAAAUCAGAGAAAUAACAUGAUAUUUGUCAUCGGAGGAAAAACGGAUGAGGGCUUUAAAACAGGACCUUCUUACCACCCAGGCAUCGUGCUGAAUCUCUGAGACUUAGAUGCAGAAACAUCAUUGAGCCAAGACGCAACGCUGAGACGCGGCUGAACUAAAGUGAUUUUAGUUAAACCACAAGUCUGGACCAAAACAACCGGGAGCGAGGAAAUCUGUUUCUUAGGGCGACAGAGACACAAAGUUCAAUCUUUAGUAAACUUCCUGGGGCAUUUACAGUGAUAUCAACCCCUAAGGAAGAAAGGCUCCAAGGGCUCGGUGCAGCUACUUCGACUGCAUCUUUCCUUGACUAUAAGCUGAUCACAAAGUGUCCUUCUUCUAGAUCCUGCAGCCAUCAGCUUUCAUUGUUCAAGAAACCAGACUAAAGUUGUGUUCAGACUGAGAGUUUUCGUUGGUGAACUGAUUAUGAUACAUGAACGUUUAUCAAUCUAAACUUGUCAACACUGCCGCCACGCCCCCUCCCAUAGACUAGUAUUGAGGGGGUGUGGUGUGACAUCACGAACCCCACAGCCAGGCACCCAGCGUUCGUAACAAAAUGUUCCGAAUGCUGGGGCAGUGGAGUACCCCUUUAAUAUACCAUCAAGUAUUUCAGUUUUUUUGGAGGAAAUGUAGAUUCUUCUUUCUAAUCCAGGUAAAAUUGUUAAUACUAAUAUAAUUUUCUUAAAAGUUUAGAACUGUGAUCUAACAGACAAACUGAGCCCCGCUCCAUCUGCAGUACAGAAUCUCAUAUUGAUCCGCACGUUCCUUCUCGCAGUCACCUAUCUACGCGUUAGUCAUCGCCCAUUUAACCUCGGUCCCGUCAGCUUUUCAUUUGCUUAAAUAACAAGUAGCCUUUUGGAGCCCGUGGGGCAAAGCAGCAUGGAAACGCUACAAAGCGACUCGGCUCAGCACUUUCCUGCAACAAAUUUAAUAACUUGUUUAAAAGAAAAAAAAAAACUUUAUUGGCAACCAAUCAAUGGCUGGUUUAAAAGGCCACAGCAGGAACUUAAUACACAGAUUAUCUCUGAAACCCGAUACGGUGUUUUCUGCUGAACGUGCAGAAGAUGACUGUGCGGAGAGCGGAUGUAUUGUUACCAUCCGUGAUGGAAGAGUCUCACAUUCUAGAUGGGAUAUUACAUAGGACAAUGAAGGUGUAUGUGAGUCCUUUAACCCCUUCCUGCAAAUACUCUAUUAAAACAUCCCAGUAGUUUUGCAACUGUAUCAGCACAUCCCCGAUUCCGCCAUCAUUUAGAUGCCACAGUCCAUAGCGUCCAUGGCAUCUAAGGAUGGAGGGGGUCCGAGUCCUUUAGCCCCUUGAGGCAAAUACUCUACUUUUAUGUCCUGAUUUAAAGGGGUACUCCGCUGCCCCAGCGCUCGGAGCAUUUUGUUCGGGCGAUGGGGGUCGUGAGG